rnacentral:rRNA from 1 species
UACAGGGGAUGCAAGCGUUAUCCGGAAUGAUUGGGCGUAAAGCGUCUGUAGGUGGCUUUUUAAGUCCGCCGUCAAAUCCCAGGGCUCAACUCUGGACAGGCGGUGGAAACUACCAAGCUGGAGUACGGUAGGGGCAGAGGGAAUUUCCGGUGGAGCGGUGAAAUGCGCAGAUAUCAGGAGGAACACCGGUGGCGAAGGCGGGUCUCUGGGACGGUACCGACGCUGAGACGCGAAAGCGUGGGGAGCGAACAGG